ACCCAGCUGACGAGUCCCAAAUAGGACGAAACGCGUGUCAGGGAU
rfam:Schistosoma curassoni strain Dakar, Senegal genome assembly, scaffold: SCTD_scaffold0000056